GGUAAAAAAGCUCGUAGUUGGAUUUCUGUCAAGAGCGGCCGGUCCAUACCACGUAUGCGUAUCUGGUUUUCUGCUCUCGGCAUCCUCUCGAAAUACGGUUUCUGUGCUUCAUUGCAUGGAUCGGAUCUCGGGACUUUUACUUUGAGGAAAUUAGAGUGUUCACGGCAGGCUAUCGCCAGAAUACAUUAGCAUGGAAUAAUACUAUAGGAUCUCGAUUCUAUUUUGUUGGUUUCUAGAAUCAAGAUAAUGAUUAAUAGGGACAAUUGGGGGCAUUCGUAUCAACACGUCAGAGGUGGAAUUCUUGGAUUGUGUUGCGACGAACUACUGCGAAAGCAUUUGCCAAGGAUGUUUUCAUUGAUCAAGAACGAAAGUAAGGGGAUCGAAGACGAUUAGAUACCGUCGUAGUCUUUACCAUAAACUAUGCCAACUAGAGAUGGGACAUCGUUCAUUUACGACUUGUUCCGCACCUUAUGAGAUAUCAAAGUUUUUGGGUUCCGGGGGGAGUAUGGUCGCAAGACUGAAACUUAAAGGAAUUGACGGAAGGGCACCACCAGGAGUGGAGCCUGCGGCUUAAUUUGACUCAACACGGGGAAACUCACCAGGUCCAGACAUAAUAAGGAUUGACAGAUUGAUAGCUCUUUCUUGAUUUUAUGGGUGGUGGUGCAUGGCCGUUCUUAGUUCGUGGAGUGAUUUGUCUGCUUAAUUGCGU
rnacentral:rRNA from 1 species